CUGCUUUUGAUGCAGCCCAGGAUAGUUUUGCCUCAUAGUAAUUUCUUCUGGGCAAGCCAUUGGGAAAAACAAAACAAAACAAAACAAAACAAAACAAAAAAACAGCAGCACGCAGUCAAAGCAGGCAUUUUCUGAUACUUUUCUGAUACUCAAAUACUGGUGUGUAUUUGUUAAUGUGGUUGUUCAUAUUUUGUUGACAGAGCCUGCUCAAUCUCUGCCUUGUGUUUAAGCUCAUUCAGUGAAACAGAGUCCUGUAACACCACCUGGAAAUGCCAGGUUCCACUUGAUUCUAGAUGAUCCAUGCAGGGAGGUGAAGAAUAUCCCAACUCCAUAAUUAGAUAGCAGUAUUGCAUCUCCUAAGAAGCUAAUGAAUGAAUGGUUGUGGAAUGAGCAGAAAAGGCAUCCAGAAGGUCAAACUUUCUUAAGUUAAGGUAAAAGUACUUCUUAGUCAAGAAAUUAAUUUUGGGUCUCUUCAGCUUGCUCCACGUUCAGGACAAAAGACAUAAAUUUAAUGCUAAGCUUACUCUAACCACUAAGAUCACAUGAAGAGAUUUCUUUCUCUUUCUUCUGGACAGGGGGCAGCAGAAUGACCCUCUGGUGAGGGCUGUCCCCACUGAGGCUUUCCAAUAGAGAUCACCAGUAUCAAUGGCAACUGGACAAACUGCUUUCCUUCUUGGUGAGCUGAGUUGUGCAAAGGCUAAUAUUAGAGUCUGGAGAAAUUCUCUCAUAAUAAAUAAAAGAGUGGGAGGAUGAUGUUUUAUUUAAAUUGUAUACAUUAAUUGAGGACAUACAUUCUACCUCUCCAUCCCCAACAUAACUGAAAGCUGUUUUUCAUCUGUUCUUCUGUGAUGAAAUGAAAAGGUUAUCUGUUAAGAACAUAUCUGGAGAGAGGAAAUCCCACCCUAAAAUUUGCUGGAUUAGUGGCAGAUCCAAAGCCCAUUGAAAACAACCUGGUGAGUUUAGUGGGCUUUCAGUUCCAGAUCUAAGUGUCUGAUGAUCUGAAUAAUGUCUGUGAUUAUUUGUGUACUUCUCUGAUCAUAAUCUCUGCUUUUCUGCCUCGUGCUCUUGAGUCAGGAGCAGCAACACAGCCAUUUGCAGGACUUAGCAAGAUAGUAGCCUUGCUGUAAGGUUGUAUGUCUUGCUGUCUGCAGUACUUGAAUCAGCCUCAAGUGACCAUGUGAAACAAAUGUAUUGCACAGUCCCAUCAGAUUUCUUCUUUCUGCUCAGGCUUUACUGCAAUCAUUUAAACAAUUUUUGUUCCUCCUGUAACACCUUGUUUCUGCUGAAAUGUGGAAACAGUAGAACUUCUUCAGCUUCUUUACACUGUAGUUUGAAGCAAUGGAAUCACAGACUCAUAGAGUCAUAGAAUCACUAAGGUUGGAAAAGACCCACAGGAUCACCCAGUCCAACCAUUCACCCAUCACCAAUGGUUCUCACUAAAAGCAGACAUAAACCCAACUCUGAUCCAGCUGAUGGCAACUUUGGGUUUUUUGGCUUGGGUGUAAAUGGCUUAAGCAAACUCAAAGCAGAAGAGAUUCAGAACCCACUGCAAGUUAUUGCGAAAUUCACCAUUUUAUGCUCUUUUGGAAAAAUCAAUUUUACACAGUUUGCAUCUAGUUUUGAAUGCUUGCAUCAUACUGCAUUUAAUUUGGAAACUAUUUUCUGUGGUCAUGAAUUUCUCCCUGGAGUCUCUUUCCAGGUAAUCAAAAGUUAGUGUCUUUCUGCACUUUGGAGGUGCAAGUCUUCCUUUUAUGAAGUGCUUUGCAUUCCUAACAUGAUGCUCAUCCUCACUGACUGGGUGCUUGCCUCCUACUGAGAGACUGGUGACUGAGAACUGGAAACUGAUUACGAUAGUAACUGAAGAAUGUUGUAAUCAUUCUCCUUGCGUGAGCCAGAUAUAUUCCCGACUCUCCUGCUUGGAGGGAAGUGUAUGGACUGUGAUAACAGGAAGGUUUAUAAAAUCAUUGCAAUCUAAGUAAUGAUUACGGUAAGCUGUUUAAAAAGUUAUGCCUGAUUCUCCCAUGUCUGAGUCCAAAAUCUGGUGAACCCCCAGCAGGAAUCUCUGCGUGGUCUGUGAGGAGAACUUGAUCAAGUUCACCACAGGACAAUGUUUCAGAGAGGCACAAUGGUAUUUUUCCAGUAUAUCCAGAGCAGAUCAUGACUGUGUGUGUUUGUAUUAAUCCCAGCACUUUUCAAGUUGUGUCUAUCACAUCUCUUCCACUGAGGACAAGUGAUGAAUAAGGGAACAGCAAUGCCAAGAAUGCUGAGAAAUGCUGUGUCUUGAGCAGAGCCCGUCCAGUCCUGGAGUCGCAGGUUAUCCUGCUGUGCAAACAGAACUGGUGGGGCAGAUGUUGGAGAACAAACUAGUUUUCCGUGGGGCCUCUUUGAAGAAAAUGCAGUCAGCUCAGGGUGGUCAGAAGCGCACUCUAAAAACAUUUAACCUUGGCAGCUGAAUACCAGUAAACCUAUAAGUGCUGGGCUCUGCCUCUCUGCUUGAAGAGCUGCUGACCAUAGAGGCCACCCAUCCUGAAGCUGUCUCUGUCAAGAGGCUAAGGAAGGAACAAAAGGAAUGAUGGCAAUUUGCUUCUUAUCAGAGGAAGUCUACUCCAUGAAUGACUCACAGGAGUAAUUAUCUGUCAAAUUGUCUCUGUGUGUAGGAAGAGUCUGCAUUUCCGUUCCUCAGUCUCAAGUCACUGUGGUUAGUUACCAAGCUUGCCAUUACUUCAAGAGGAUUUCUUCGUUAUUUGGUGGAUUCUUGGUGCUUAGAUAAGUCAUCAAAGGGGAGUGAGGGUUAAAAUGUAAUGUGGAACACCAUCACAGACUGCAAGGCCAGUGUUGUCUGACGUCCUGCGUGACAGAAACAAGAGAGCAACCUCCAGGAGCCUGUGCACCAAGCCUGCAUUUAUCUUCAUUCUGUGGAAGGGAAUCACAGUAGCUAGUGGCAGCAAUCAAAGGGAAACUGCAGGAACAUAUCACCAGACUAAACACAAAGAAAUGAAUCCCUGGCUAUCCCUUCCCAUCUGAAGUUUUUUACUGCAGCCAGUGAAGACAACCUUUCAUCUCUCCAGUGUGAAGCUGUAUAUCCAGCGGUAAUUGCAGACUGACCACGGAGUAGAAACAGUAGCUGACCUACAGUAAAUAUCAGCUGAGGAAAUGGGUUGAUGGGAACCCCAUGAAGUUCAGCAAAGGCAAAUACCACACUCUCUGUCAGAGGUCCCUCGUGAGGAAUACUAGUGUAGAAAGAAACAGAGGGGAAAACGUGAACAAUGGACCUCUCCUACCCUAAUUGCAAGUACAGCAAGUAUGUCAAGUGUGCAUUUGAGAGACAGAAGACUGCUUUGUAAACAUGAGCAGUGCUCAUGAAACAGACAGAUGAUAGCUGAGAGUCAAUCUGUAGCUAUAUCCAUCUUGAAGAAACCUUAUCUGAUGAAGCGAACCAGCAUAGCCUGUAUCUGUAAUUCUUGAUCAAUAUAUUUUUGUUUUAUCUUCUGCUGAAUGGCCUUGCUGCAUUUUAUAUGAAAUUUGAUUGUAUAAACGGCUUCCACAUUUUGGAAACGCUUCCAGUUUGGGAAUAUAAGUGGAGAAAUGGUUGAUGUCUGGAUUUCUCUCAGAUUAAGUGAAAAGCACCUUCUGAAGUACUGAACUGCUGCAAUCACACCUGGUUUGGCCCUGCCCUAAAACAAGCUUUGGGGUAUGAGAGAGUGCUGAAGUCUACCUGGAGUUCUUAUAGGUUGGUCUCUAGAGGCAGAAUAUCAGACACUUUCUGAAAUUUCAUAGUUUAGGAUUUAGGUGUGUUUUUCCUUCUGAGCAUAAGCAAUUUACUGAAUAUGGUCAGCGUUUUCUUUAUUGGCGUUGUAGAGUGAAGGAUAACUGCUUUGCAAAUCAACUAAAUUAAAACUACUGUAUUAGGAAUACUGCCUUUAAGCAUAAUAACUGUGUAACACAAACUUGGCAGAAAGAUGUUUAAUUUACAGGAAAAAAAGUGAACAGGUUAAAGAAUAUUCAGAUAAGUUAGGUAGAUUCAAGUCAGCAGGGCCUGAUGAAAUUCACCCCAGAGUACUUCAGGAACUAUCUGAAGUGAUCUCUGAACUAUUAGCAGUUAUCUCUGAGAGCUCAUGGAGGAUGGGUGAGGUCCUGGAGGACAGGAGAAAAGCAAACACUGUACCUAUCUUUAAAAAGGGGAAACAGGAAGACCUAGGGAAUUUCAGGCCAGUCAGGUUGACUUUGAUACUGAGAAAAAUGCAAGAGCAAAUUAUUGAACAAUCAAUUUGUAAACACCUAGAGGAAAAUAAGGUGAUAAGAGCCAGCAUGGGUUUGUCAAGAACAAAUCACAUCAAAGCAAUCUAAUUUCCUUCUUUGACAGUGUAACUGGCCCAGUGGAUAAGAGGGAAGCAGCAGAUGUGAUAGAUCUUGACUUCAGUGAGGGCUUUGACACACAUCCACCUGACAUUUUCAUAAGUAAGUCAGAGAAAUAUGCUUUAGAUGAAGUUAUUAUGUGAUGAGUGCAAAACUGUUUGAAAAAUUGGACUUAUUGGUAAAGCAAUUAUCAAUGUUUUGUUGGCAAACUGGGAAAACUGUGGUAUCUCAUCAAAUAAGAUAUCACAGAGGUCUGCCUUAGGUCCAGUAUUAUUCAAUGUUUACAUCUUCGAUGAUGGAAGAUAUAGAAAACUUUUAAAAAUUGCAGGUGAUACUGAACUAGAAGGGCUGCAAACAUUUUAGAGAACAGGAUUUGAAUACAAAAUAAUCUUGAUAAAUUGAAGAAAGAGUCUGAAGCCAAUAAGAUGAAAUUCAAUAUGAACAAGUGUAAGGUAUCACUUCUGAGGAAGGAAACAUCAAAUACACAAAUAUGAAAUGGAAAACAAGAAGUUUGGAAGCAGUUCACAUAAAAGAAGUUUAGCACAUUGCACACAAAAAAAAUAUGUAAUUCAGAAAUACAAAGUUGUGUGAUGGGAUGAAUUAAUGGUUAUGUUGUGAGUAACUGGGAAGCAUCUAUUUCAUUCUGCUCUGGAUAACGAGGCCCAACCUGGGAAUAUUAUGUCUGUGUCCAGUGGUGACAUCACAUUAUGGUAGAUAAUUUUGAAAUCUUUUUCAUUUUGAAAGGAGAAAGAGCAGUGCUUAGAAAGCAGGAAAAGCUGAAAUAAAUGACUCCUUUUGUUUUGGAAAAAAAAAAAAAAUAGGCAUAAUGUAGAUCAGCGAUACAAAAAAAUGUUACUAAAAAUGUGAGAGAGAAAAGGGCACUUACCUGUUCUCCCUCAGUAAAAACGUUGUGAAAAGAAACGGAUAGGCAAAGCUGAAGCCUGAGAUACUCAGAUUAGGUACAAUUCAGAUAGAUUUCUCUGGUUAUGAGAAUGGCACAGCACUGGAACAAGGUUUCUAAAAUACUCCAGAAUCCUUGCUUCAAAUCCUUAAAAUGGGUCAGACAGACAUCUGUCAGUGAUGUGGAACAGAUGUCCUCUUGAGAUCGCUUCUACUUUCACAUUUCUACAAUAAUUCGUACACCUCAGUCAAGAGGAAAACCCACGUGAACCAAAUAAGCAAGAAUUGCUCGCAUGCACAUACAAACAUACAUUUCCUACCAAACCCCCAACCUUUCCCUGAAAAUCUCUUUUCCUAUCAAACAUUUCUGUGCACUUAUCAAACUGAUGUUGUUUCUUCUAGUCCUUUUCACCUGCACGUCCCCCAAAACAGAGAAAAGAGUCACUCAUCACUUCAUUUCUGUAUUAAAGAUUAUGGAGAAAGGCAGAUCUGACGUCUAUCCAAACAACUAAUCCAGUAUGUUGCUUUCUGUGGGCUGACCCUACUAAUGUAUAGAAGCAAGCCUCCGAAGCCAUAAAAGCCUUUUUUGAAACUAUCUGUUGCAAGCUGCCAUAAGAAGUGCUUUGUUCUUUUUCUCUCUGUAUUUUUGAUGAAGCUACAGUUUGAAAAUGACACUUUAUAAAUAUGCCUGCUCCCCUUUAAUGAUAAACUUGGGACAAACUGGAUGAUAUUUUCAUGAGGUUUUAUUGGCAUGAUUUUGAACUGUUUUGUUAUUUAUGGGAGCAUCCUAGACAGACUGCAGCAAACACUCAGCAUCUUCUUGUUAUGUUUACUGUGUGAGCCACAUGCAUCUCAAAAUGUAGUCUUGAAAUAUAUAGUGAGAAAAGGGAGCUUCUUUUAGGGCUGCAGGGCCAGAAAUCUUAGUCAUCAAGUGCUGAUUUGUGUGAAGAUUACAACAGGAAAAAACAGUGUUUUAAAUGACUGAUCUAAACAAGGUACCUGAAAUUUAACUGCAGGGUUUGCACACUGCACUGCAGUGCAUGCGUGCUACCUCAAAAUGACACUCAGAGCAGAAUGUCUUCUCCUGCAUGUGCUUGCCUUUGUGAUCAUACCUGCACGAUAACAAAUUCAGGAAACCUUUUCUUAAAGGUUAUGAGGCUGCGGCUGCAAGUAAAGAAUUGUUUGUCUUGCUUUGUAUCUGGGAUUAUGCCUGUUCCAUCUCCAUGAAACCAAGGAUGUUUAAUUUUGCAUGAAUGGUGGUGGGGCGAGUGUUAUUUGGUUCCUUGGCUUAGAUUUCCUACUAGGUCCGGAGGCUUAGAAAAAGGAAUAUCCUUACUUGGAGAACAGCCAUCUCCCUUUCCAGGCAAACUGACUGGUAGGUGACAGUCUUUGACAAGGGUCCAGUCUCAGUUCCCUGGAAGUAGGUUAGUCAUGUGAGAAGCUUUUCUGUGCAUUCGAAGACACACAAGAUAGUUCUGCUUGAGCCAGGUUCAUGCACAGUGCUAAGGCUAUAUUCAUGUGGUGCAAUGCUUCUUGGAUACCUAUAUGCCAAGGUUAAUAGUGUAACUGACCUUCCUCUUCUCUAUUUUGCUCUGGCCCUGUUCUUAUUCACGUAUGUCUUUAGCACAUAUGCUUUAGCUUUACCUGAGUAUAACAGUCUCCUAUUACCUCCUGCAACUGAGAACUGGUCAAAACUGAGCAUCCCAGGCUCUAUUAAAAUGUCAGCAAGAUUUUACGCACGAGUUAAGUCCCACUUAAGGAGUAUUUUGAGAUUUCACUGUGCAAUGUAAAAAAAUAAAUUUGCAGUUACUGACCCCUCCAUGCAGUCCACAUAGUAUACUUGAUACUUGGGGUGGUAGGAAGAUACACCAUCACUCACACUCAUUAGGAGGUCCACAGCACAUAACUUUUAAGAGGGAAUUUUGGGGUAGAAGGUUUUGGGAGGUCAUUGGUAAUACUGCCAUUAACUUGCCAAUGAGGAGGUAGGACCAUAUUUAGAGCCACUUUUAGUCCUGCUUUCUGUAAUCUAAUAGGUUUUACAUUUUCAUUAGCUAUCACAAAUGAAAGAUUUGUGGUAGUAUGGAACCAAAAUUUUUUUCCUUAUCACUUGCAAAAGAUGCUAUUAAAGAUAAAGUAAAAUAAAACUUCCUGGAUCUAAAUAUAGGCUGGACUAAAUUGGCAGAUUUCAGUAAGCAUGUCUGCUUAGUACUGGACACGGUGCUGAGUGAAUUUUACAUAAGAGGAAAAAAAGCUAAGUAAAAUGAUAGAAAGCCUUGUCUGAACUGCAGCCGAAAACGGAAUAGUUUUCCCUUCUAUGAUACAGGGUUGUAUCUUUCUAUCUCAGCCAACCAGAGAGAUCUUUUUGGAAUACAUAUACCCCUGUCUGAAACACAUCUCCAGCCUGUUCUGUGCUAAAAAAUUUCAAUCACAGAAAGGAAAAGAAAAAAACAAAAAACAAAAAACAAAACCCAAUAACACUCCCAAACUAGCUCAGUUCCUGAGGUUUCUGCAAAGGAUGUAACCUAGAUUCACAGAAUAAUUCUGGUAGGAAGGUGUAACCUCUAGGAAAUCAUCUGCUCAGGUGUUCCUCACACAACAGAUCUAGCACACCCAUCUCCCAUUAUAGAUACCACAUUGCAGAUAUCCUAAUUUGUAAGGGUGAUGUCAGCUAAGAUCAAAGAUCUAUUCUCAUUUCCAGCAUAGGCCAGAAGAGGUUAAGUCAAUUUAUGAAGUCUCUUAAAUGAUCUCACUGAGGCAGAGUUUCUCAUCUAGUGCCCCUCAUCCUAAACCCUCAGUACUAAUUCUGUGUUAUGCCAAAGAGGAGCACACAGGAGUCUGGAUCUGCGCUGCAGCUGGGACAUAAUGUAUCUCUGCCUAUUUCCAGCGCCUUUCCCAGCUCUUUCCCAAAGCUCUGAGGGGACAGAUGGUCUCUUCUGCCCAUUUAUUUGGUUUCCAUGGUGGAAACAAUUACCGCAGCACAAACAAGAAGGGGACACUCAUCCAGACACUGCAAGACUGUUCAUUAGUAAGGCAGCAUCAAUGUGCAUGUGGCAGCCCAAUUUGUGUCUUGCUUGCCAGUGUGGCUUAACUCAAGUAUAUCCUCUGAACUGACAUCAGUGAGAGCAGACAUUCUGUGUUAAGAGGAACAGCCCACCCGUGAUAAAAAUAUAUUAUUGCGGUGAUAUAUUUUAAUGAGAACUUCAGUGUGACCAGCUAGUGUUGUUUGAAAUAAAUUCUAUUAAUAAAGCAGCUGAAUUUGUGGUAUAGCACUAAAUACAGAGAACUAUAAAGUAGCUACGUGAUGUGGGGUCAUCAGUUUAGUGGUCUGACCCUCAUACCUUAUGCAUGUCCCUUAAUUUCCAUGGAGUCUCACCCUCCUUCUGUAGAAUGAGGUUUAGCUCUCCCUCCUCACACCCCAGUGGAAUGUCACAGGGUGCAACCCUCUGGCACUGAGGAGAUAUCUGACAGUGAGGUCUGUAUUAGCACUUCAGGUAGCACUUCUAUUUAGGGGCCAGCAGACUGACAGCUCCUUGCUGUGUGAUACCAUGGUGCUUUGUCUCCUCGUUUUGGUAUGUGCAGUAUCCUACUUGUGCUACAUCUCAGUGAGCUGGAGAAGUGGUGCAAGUCACAGCACUUUCCUUUUCCAUCUGGCCUGCAGCAAUGGAGGGGUGGAGGGGGUUAGGCUUGCUGUGGUGUGACUGUGCUGCAAUGUAUGAAGUCAAGAACCCCACUGAAGAACUUGAAUAGAGACUUGCAUCAUGUUGGUGAUGUUGCCAAACUUCAUGGUAGAAAUGCUCCAUUUUUGGAAGAUAAACUAUAGAAUACUUUCCACAGGACUGCAAGAAAGCAAGCUUGCUAUGCCUGCAUUCCACGCUUCUCAAUCAACAUCAAUAUCAAACCUCCUCCAGAAUGAAAAGAUUUCACCACUUUUCUUGUUAAAUGUCUUUGUUACGUGUAUUUAGGGUGUGCUAGAUAUUUUCCCUAGUUUAUCAAUGCCUUCAGCCGCUCAGCUCUAAGAAAGGUCAGUAUGGGCUCAUUGCUGAUUCCUUUUAUUUUUUUUCUCUCUGGUGCAUAACACAGGCAGCUAUUCUUGCCAGUCUCUCUCUUUGCCUAAGUACUUAGAAUCCUCCACGGGAACAGGUGAUUAAUGGCAUGUUAAUUGUCUAUGUUUGAGAAUGCACACAGACACACAGAUGCUUACACAGGGAGCUCUUGGUACGUAUGUCUUUCUAAGCAUCAAGUUUUUCCAUACAGAUCUUAUUAUCUGUAACAUAGCCCUUUCUCUCAGUAUUGUAUUUGCACUGGGGUUGAGGCAAUCCCAGUCAUGCACACAGACUGGGAAAAGAACCCAAAGAGAGCAGCUCUGUGGAGAAGAACUUGAGGAUCCUGAUGAAUGGAAGCCUGGACAUGAGCCAGCAGUGCACACUUGCAGCCCCGAAAGCCAACUGUAUCCUAGGCUGCAUCAACGGAGGGAUGACAGCAGGGAGAGGGAGGGGAUUGUCCCCAUCUGCUCUGCUCUCGUGAGGACUCAUCUGCAGUACUGCAUCCAGGCCUGGGGCCCCCAGCAGAAGAAAAACAUGGAGCUGUUGGAGCGGGUCCAGAGAAGAUCAUAAAGAUGAUCAGAGAGCUGGAGCACCUCUCCUGUGAAGAAAGGCUGAGGGAACUUUGCUUGUUCAGCCUGGAGAAGAGAAGGCUCCAGGGAGACUUCAUCAAGGCUUUCCAGUACUUAAAGGGAACUUAUAAACUGAUUUUUUACAUAGCCUGGUGGUGAUAGAACAAGGGGCAGUGGCUUUAAAACAGAUGAGAUUUAAGUUAGAUGUCAGCAGGAAUUUCUUUACUCAGAGGGCAGUGAGGCCCUGGCACAGCUGCUCCGAGAAGCUGUGGUGCCCCAUCCCUGGAGGCACCCGAGGCCUGGUUGGAUGAGGCCCUGGUGGAAGGUAGCCCUGCCCACAGCAUAGGCUGGGACUGCGUGGGCUUUGAGGUUCCUUCCAACUCAAGUAAUUCUAUCACUCUAUGAUUCUAUGAUAUAUUUGUUGUCUGUCUUGACACAUGACUGUAUGAAUACUGUCUUUACUUUCUAAGUCAUGAUUAAUUUAAAAAUUUCUCAGUUUUCUCACUGUACUUUUUUUUCUUUUCUGAGCCUAAUUACUAAGAGAUGUGAGCAUAUAAAUAUAAAACGUAUGAGUUGUUUGUUGUUGGUGGUGGUGGUGGGUUUUUUUUUUGCAAUAAAUCUGAUCAUUAUUUAUAUUGCUUCUCAGUAUCUCUCCCCUAAGCUAUCCUGAACUUGAACAAAUCACUACAUCACUAGAAUCUUGAACGUUACUUAUUUGUGCGCUAAUUAUUCUUAAUCUGGGUCCUUUUAAGAAGGUUGUCAAUUAGACUUUAUUGAAUUGUCAGUGCUCACAGCAGCAAAGGG
ensembl:lncRNA